GAGCUGCAAACAAGUGAAAGCACAUAAAAAUCAGCUGUGACCUAACUGCAAGCAUGCAAAGAUCUUAUUUUUCUUUCUUGUUUUGUUCUCUGAAUAUUUGCAGGAAUUACUGCCUUUGCUAAUUAUAAGCCAUUUAUACCAGCUGUUUAUUUCACUGUAAUCAUGACCCCUAUAAUAUCCCAACAGGCUGCUCCAAAAGUGACAGAAUCACUGGCAUUCACUGCAUCCAGAGCACCAAGAGUGCCAACAGGUGAAUGGUUAUGAAGCAAGCCAGCUUCAGCAAUCUUCCUCAACUAAGGAAAGCCUGGCGGGAGGCGAAGACAUGGAAAUGAAGCUACAUGUUUAGGGAUCCAGCAGGACUCCCAGCGAGGUGCUGAAACUGCAAGUGCAGCUGGCAGAGCUGAAGCUGGAGCUCCAAGAAGCAGAUGGUGCACCAAGACCUGAGCGUACCAUGGCAACUGAGAGCAGCAGGUGGACCCUGAAGGAAGGUUAACAGAAAUCUGAUUCUUAACCCAUUACAGCUGUCUGGACUUCAAGUAAAAGCCACAGAUGAUCUGAGCUGAUAAUCGUUGGCAGCGUCCAGAAAAAGCCCGUUCGUCGCCGGGCGCUGUGUCCCGAUGCCUCCCGCUGCGACGAGCGCGGGCUGCGCGUCAUCCGCGGCAGAGAAUGUCCGGGCGGAGCGGAGGAGAAAGGAAAGCGGCGGCGAGGCUGCGCGAAGGGGUGCGGAGUGCCGCGGUCUGAGCAAGAGCUGCUCCGAGAAGGGAGCAAAGAGCGUUGAGGAGGUAUUUAUUUAUUUAGCUGUGAGAAACUGAGGAGGAGAGGACGGGCCCGGCGCUGAAGAGCUGUCAGCUGGGAGAGGCACGGAGGCGGCACCUCUGGGCUUUGUCCCUGCCGGGCACACGCUGCCGUGACGGCACUGCGGCUCUGCGUGCACCUGACGGUACGGGGAAUCCCAGCCCGAAUCACAGUGCCCUCCCACUAGAGGCGAGCUAAGGGAGUGAAGGUAAUCAGUGGGGCUUAAUGCCGAAGGAGCCUUUCUUACAGAGACCAGGGAUGCUGUCUGAGGCCUGGGAACACGCAGGUCUCAUGGCAGGUCCAGAUGUGCCAGCUGGGAAUUGCUCAGUGUAAAAGCAUGCUGUGCUGAGCCUUCGUGCUGCUUCCAGUAGCACAUCGGCUCGGUAAAGCUUGUAUCAACGUAGUGAUCCAGCAGCACUGCCAGAACUGCCACACACUUGGUGUACUGCAGGAGGAGACUUGUAGCUGUGGUGCUGAUGAAGCUCAUGUCCAAAAGCGGCAGUGCCUGUGGCCUAGGACAGGCUCUGUGAAGCUGUCCUAACAACACUAGCUGUGUGUUUGCUGCCUGUGAACAUUUCCUUAGCUGAGAAGAUAAAGCGGCAUGGCUUGGCACAGCUUCAGCAUGUAAGCAAAAAUUUGGCGUCUCAAUAUAGUAUCAAAUGAGUGAGAGGUUAAUGGGACCCCAGAAGCGUAAAUGUAUUUAAAUGUAUCCUCCAGAUGCUGAUUAAAACGAGGAUGAGCUUCUGAAAUUUGGACCAGCUUAGAGUAGUCAGCAUGUAAGUCUACAGUCAAAGGCAUUUCAGUAUAAGUGAAGUUGUUUGGGGUAUUAUAAUCACGAGUAAGAGCAAUGCUCAGAAUAGUCUCUAUUGUUUGGGUAUUUUAUGAUAACAAAAGUAGCCUGGAAAGAAGCAGUGCUGUAUUCAACAUAGCCAGGGAAUACUUUCAAUCCCCAGUGUUCAUUUUAACUCUUUAUGUUUUAUAUCUCAGAAGAAUUAAAUAUAAUUAUGAAUUUCUAUAAUGCUUUAUCUACAGUUCCUUCAUUCCCUUGUUCCAAUUUCUUUUUAAAAUGGAAAAGAUCCAGAGAUGGAGAAUCAGUAAGAUUGAAUGAGUGGAAAGAAUGGCGUACAAGAACAGAAUGUAAAUGUUAAUCUUGUUUAAGAUAAGGUUAACAGGAACAAAUUUACUUGAAAUAGUAUUCAGGUGGGGAACAUACACGGAACACUCAGUAACUCUCUGCCAGUGACAGUGAAUGUAAACUGAAUGGCUUUAAGUGAUGCCAGGGGAUACUUGCCUUGCUGAGCAAGGAAAUCAGCUUUCAAAGAAGUCAGCAUCACCUUUGUAAUGGGGAGGUGCUGUUUAUGUGUAUUCUCAUGGUGUUAUGUGCAUCAUUUUUCAGUGUAGCUGGCAGCCAGUUACUGAUUAGAUGCGGACAAGACACCCCAUAGGCUGGCUGCUGGUUCACUCUCAUGGUGGGCAUGAGAAUAAAUGACUUGGAUUUCGUCAUUUUUCAUGACCUAAGUCACGAGGCUCACACCAUACUUAUGGCUCCAAAUAUUUAUGCUGUGUAUAGAGCCCCUCCUAGAAUUCUCUUAGCAAAGAGAUACAUAGAUGAAGAGUCCAACGCACUGAUUUUCACAUCAGCAUUUUUCUCAUCAAGUCUCCAUUUUACAUUUUCAACAUAACUGUACCUUAAUUCAGUAUUAAAUCGCAUUUGGAAAUGCUGUUCCUUGA